rnacentral:rRNA from 1 species
AUUGAACGCUGGCGGAAUGCUUUACACAUGCAAGUCGAACGGCAGCACGGGGGCAACCCUGGUGGCGAGUGGCGAACGGGUGAGUAAUACAUCGGAACGUGCCCAGUCGUGGGGGAUAACGUAGCGAAAGCUACGCUAAUACCGCAUACGAACUCUGGUUGAAAGCGGGGGAUCGCAAGACCUCGCGCGAUUGGAGCGGCCGAUGGCAGAUUAGGUAGUUGGUGGGGUAAAGGCNCACCAAGCCGACGAUCUGUAGCUGGUCUGAGAGGACGACCAGCCACACUGGGACUGAGACACGGCCCAGACUCCUACGGGAGGCAGCAGUGGGGAAUAUUGGACAAUGGGCGCAAGCCUGAUCCAGCAAUGCCGCGUGAGUGAAGAAGGUCUUCGGAUUGUAAAGCUCUUUUCGACGGGGACGAUGAUGACGGUACCCGUAGAAGAAGCCCCGGCUAACUUCGUGCCAGCAGCCGCCGUAAU